AAUAUUUACUGGUAUAUCUUCUAGAUACCAGUUAACGUGCUAAGCACUGGACACAGCCAUGAUCAGGACAAACACAAGUGUCUGCUUUCAUAGAACCUUAAAGACUUGCCAGAAACACAGCCACUGAAGAAUAAUUCUACACAUAAGAAGCAUUACAAAAGGGAAAUUGAGAGUGUGGGAAGAAUUUAUGAAGUUCUGGAGGCCAUAAGUCUGAGAUCAAGGCACAAGGAAACCAAGAGAACAUGUCAUCACCUGAGCCAG